UGCGGAGGGUGCAAGCGUUGUCCGGAAUCACUGGGCGUAAAGGGCGCGUAGGCGGCUCGGUAAGUAGGGGGUGAAAUCCUGCGGCUUAACCGCAGGGCUGCCUUCUAAACUGUCGAGCUUGAGCACGGUAGAGGCAGAUGGAAUUCCCGGUGUAGCGGUGGAAUGCGUAGAGAUCGGGAAGAACAUCAGUGGCGAAGGCGGUCUGCUGGGCCGUUGCUGACGCUGAGGCGCGACAGCGUGGGGGAGCAAACAGG
rnacentral:rRNA from 1 species